ACUGGUUGAUCCUGCCAGAAACAUUUGCUUGAUUUUAAGAUUAAGCCAUGCAUGUGUAAGCACAGCUAACUAGCGAAGCCGCGAAUGGCUCAUUAAAUCAUACGUAGGUUAAAGACCUUAUACAAAUUGGAUAACCCAGGUAAAUCUUGUGCUAAUACGUAACAACAAGCCCUUAUUUCAAGGGUGUUAUUUAUCAGUAAUAAGAUCAUCAAGGCGAAAGCUUUCUUUAGGGGUAUCAAAUAAAUUGAAACAUAGCUAGCUUCAAGCCCGCUAUAUUUUCAAUACACGUAUGACUUAUCAACUGUUACCGUGGCUUAUUAGUCCACUGUGGUUUUGACGAGUAACAGAGAAUCAGGGUUCGAUUCUGGAGAGGGAGCUUUAGAAAUAGCUACCACAUCUAAGGAAGGCAGCAGGCACGCAAAUUACCCAAUUGUCGAAGACAGAGGUAGUAAUAGAUAAUAACAAUACAGGACUCGUCCGAGGCCUUGUAAUUGGAAUGUAUUUGAUUCAAAUACAUUUAUGAGGAACGAUUAGAGGGCAAGUCUGGUGCCAGCAGCCGCGGUAAUUCCAGCUCUAAUAGCGUAUAUUAAUGUUGUUGCGGUUAAAAAGCUCGUGGUUGAAAGUGAAGGGUAAAACUGGAUCUGGGGAAACCCAUUUGCAGUUAUUAGCGCGUUUUAAGGUAUUCGGUUUACUUGACUUAAUUGUCAAAUAAGCUUAACGGAUGCCUUGUAGCUACUCUGAUAAAAUCAGAGUGCUUAAAACAAGCCUUUAAGCUUGUAUAUUUGUGCAUAGUAUAGCAAAAUAUGACCUAAGCUAAUAAAGAUGGUGAUUAGCCGUGGUAAUGAUUAAAAGGGAUUGUCGGAGGCAUUUGUAUUUGAAAGUGAGAGGUGAAAUUCUAUGAUCUUUCAAAGACAAACUAGCGCGAAAGCAUUUGCCAAGUAUGUUUUCAUUAAUCUAGAACGAAAGUUAGAGGUUCGAAGGCGAUUAGAUACCGCCCUAGUUCUAACCAUAAACGAUGCCAACCAACAAUCUUGUAUCGUUUAAUUUAAACGAACAAGGCAGCUUUCGGAAAACUAAAGUAUUUGGGUUCCGGGGGUAGUAUGGUUGCAAAGCUGAAACUUAAAGUAAUUGACGGAGUGGCACCACCAGGCGUGGAGCCUGUGGCUUAAUUUGACUCAACACGGGGAAACUUACCAGGCCAGGACAAUUAAAGGAUUGACAGAUUGAUAGCUCUCUCUCGAUAAAUUGGGUGGUGGUGCAUGGCCGUUCUUAGUUGGUGGAGUGAUUUGUCUGGUUAAUUCCGAUAACGAACGAGACUCCGACCAAUUAUUGAUGUAGCCGCAUAAAGAUCAACGAUAGCUUAGGCGUGUCAACGAUCGCGGUUGCAAAAAGAUAUGGGAUUAGCUAUAGUAAAUAGCACGAGAUAGAGCAAUAACAGGUCUGUGAUGCCCUUAGAUGUUCUGGGCCGCACACGCGCUACAAUAGCUUAACCAACAAGUUUUCCCUGUUUAAGAACGGGGGUAAACUAAUGAAACUAAGCGGUAGCCGGAAUGGAGAAUUGCAAUUAUUUUUCCUGAACUAGGAAUGCCUAGUAUAUUCGAGUCAACAGCUCGAAUAGAUUACGUCCCUGCCACUUGUACACACCGCCCGUCGCUACUACCGAUCGGAUUUAUUAGUGAAUUUUAAAGACAAGCCUAGCUUAUUUAUAUAGGCAUGGUUUGAAAUUAAUGUGAACUGAUGAAUCUAGAGGAAGUAAAAGUCGUAACAAGGUUUCCGUAGGUGAACCUGCGGAAG
rnacentral:rRNA from 1 species